UGGGGAAUUUUGGACAAUGGGCGAAAGCCUGAUCCAGCCAUGCCGCGUGCAGGAUGAAGGCCUUCGGGUUGUAAACUGCUUUUGUACGGAACGAAAAGACUCUGGUUAAUACCUGGGGUCCAUGACGGUACCGUAAGAAUAAGCACCGGCUAACUACGUGCCAGCAGCCGCGGUAAUACGUAGGGUGCAAGCGUUAAUCGGAAUUACUGGGCGUAAAGCGUGCGCAGGCGGUUAUAUAAGACAGAUGUGAAAUCCCCGGGCUCAACCUGGGAACUGCAUUUGUGACUGUAUAGCUAGAGUACGGCAGAGGGGGAUGGAAUUCCGCGUGUAGCAGUGAAAUGCGUAGAUAUGCGGAGGAACACCGAUGGCGAAGGCAAUCCCCUGGGCCUGUACUGACGCUCAUGCACGAAAGCGUGGGGAGCAAACAGGAUUAGAUACCCUGGUAGUCCACGCCCUAAACGAUGUCAACUGGGUUGUUGGGGUCUUUCACUGACUCAGUAACGAAGCUAACGCGUGAAGUUGACCGCCUGGGGAGUA
rnacentral:rRNA from 1 species